rnacentral:rRNA from 1 species
UACCGGCAGCACGAGUGAUGACCGCUAUUAUUGGGCCUAAAGCGUCCGUAGCUGGCCGCGCAAGUCUAUCGGGAAAUCUGCGUGCUUAACGCGCAGGCGUCCGGUGGAAACUGUGUGGCUUGGGACCGGAAGAUCCAGAGGGUACGUCUGGGGUAGGGGUGAAAUCCCGUAAUCCUGGACGGACCGCCGGUGGCGAAAGCGCUCUGGAAGGACGGAUCCGACGGUGAGGGACGAAAGCUCGGGUCACGAACCGGAUUAGAUACCCGGGUAGUCCGAGCUGUAAACGAUGUCUGCUAGGUGUGACACUGGCUACGAGCCAGUGUUGUGCCGUGGGGAAGCCGUGAAGCAGACCGCCUGGGAAGUACGUCCGCAAGGAUGAAACUUAAAGGAAUUGGCGGGGGAGCACGGGGCGGGGGCGGCGGGCCGGGCGCGGGGCGCGGCGGGCG